AAUAGAUAUAUGAAGUGUGAGGUCCUUCAGCAAUUCUUCACGGGACACAAAUGUGCCCUGGGGUGCAUGGGGAAAAGUGUGGCCAGCAGCAACCUCCCCCUGCUCGUGAAGGACUCCUGAAACUGAGCGGCAUCGUGACCAGCAGAGCAGCAGGGAACAAAAGUGACUGAUGAGGGAAAAACCUUUCAUCAGCUGAGCACUUAGAGGCAGAAACUGAACCAGUGCUCCAGAGGAGAAGGGAGGCAGAGCUUUUGUUCUUGCAGGAGACGAGGAGCUGUUUACUGCAGAGAUUUGUUUGCUUAACCUCCCAAGUGACUCAUGGCGGCGGAGAAUGGAGCCCUUCACCUUAAACCAUCUGCAGAGCAAUGGAGGCUAUCUGAGGCAUCUCCCAGCAUCUCCUCACCUGCUCACCAGAAAACAAGCUUUGAUUGCUGUGUCUGUGGUUGUUUAAAACAGAUCGAUAAGCUAAGCUAAAAGGUUUAUCUGGCGUCUGGAGGAGCUGAUCCUAUCUGCCUGAGAGAGGCUUCUUCUGAUGGGGGCCAUAGAUCUGCUGCCCAGCCCCCAGACAGCUGAGCAGGUGUGUGAUGAGAACUGAUGCACUUAAUAGACCAACAAAGCAGAAAGGCUUUAGUGGCAUUAAUUAACUCUUUGGAGUAGAGGUGUGCAGGGAUGUGCCUGCACGGCUGUGACUGCCACUCCCUGCCCUCCCACCCCAAACCAG